rnacentral:lncRNA from 1 species
UCGCUUUUAUAAGUUUCUCCUUGGUUCUCGCAUUCACAUAAAGAGACAAACAUGUAUUAUCGGUAACUCCAAAUUAACCAUCUCAAUUAAUUCAACAUGUUUAGUCCUUUAAUCUUUAUUCUUAGUACUACCUUCGUGAUUCCACACUCCUAAUCAUAUAAGCUAAAGUAUUGGACAUUCAAUCUUUGGAAGAUAUAAACAAAGGAUAAAUAUAGAUAAAUUAUCUUUCCAUUAGGUUGAGCCAUCUGAUCUGACAAAUGUUUUAAAUGCUACACUCAUGAUCCAUCAACUUUGUCUUGCUCACUAUGCUUAAGGUUAGAGAAGAACAAAUACACUUUUGGUUCUAUUGGUGUUUUCCACCAAUAGGGCCCAUGCACUUGAUCUCUGCCUUGUCUCUAUGAGCAGGAACACUUCGAGCAUAAUAUGAAGGAGUUUUACAACUCCCAGAUUCCACCAAGUGAAGAACUAGGAUCUACGAGCACAAACACACUGGAGAUACUGGACGCUCAGACAAUCACUGCCCUGAGAUGCUUGAGGACGUAAACUACAUCAACAACAAUAACAACUAUUACUACAACCGUCCUCAACAAAAUCAAGGUUGGAAUCAACAGAGGCCUAAUUACUCAGAGAGGUGAUCCAGGACGCUCCGUCAUCCCGAUCUCCAUCGGCAUGGUGGACUUCCCAGAAGCACUCUGCGACUUUGGCUCCAGCGUCAACAUUAUGCCCAGGGUUGCAGAUCGGACACUUAGUUUCCCAAAGGAAAUAUUGAAGAACCUCUGCGUCUGAGUUGGUACCUUGUACGCUCCAGCAAACUUCGUGGUGAUAGAGACUGGUACUGAGGAGAGGGCACCCAUCAUCUUAGGGAGGCCAUUCCUAAACACCAGAGCUGUCAUCUAUGCUAAUGCUGCCAAGAUCAGUUCCUACAUCAAGGGGAAGAAGGAGACUUUCCUUCAAGAACAAGACUACACAAAUUUCAGAGCAAUCCCGACAUGAACCAAGGAAGAGGACCAACAGGAGGAACAGGAACAAGCAAAUGUGGACCGAGUCAACUAAGAUGGUCACUGCAACUCAAGGAGGUCAAGAUUGUCGACUCAAGUCGCCCUUCCUGAUCAAGAAGGAUGACCCUGAUGUUCCAAGCAUUGAGUGCACAAUCAACAGAUACUCUUUUCAGAAGACACUCUACGACAUCGGAUCUAACGACAACAUAAUGGCCGCAGUCACUUAUUAGCUCCUGCAUGGGACCAUGCCUCUACAACCAAUAUACAUUCAGCUCAGGUCAUUGACAUGGGAGAAGACGAGUACGAUCCACCCACCAUCCUUGGAAGACCGUUCCUCAAUACUAUCAAAGCAAUCAUCUACAUUGGAACCAGAGAAGUCCACAUAUACUUCCCCUCUGAGAAGGUACGCAGCUAUUUUACUGACCUUAACUAUAUAGUUGAAGACUCUAAGCAGGUCAGGACAAGAAGAAGACAACGCAACCGCAACUGGAGGAGGCAAAUCAUCAAGGACGGAUGGGUAGACUACGAAGGAGAAGUGAUAAGGUCUGAAGACAUAUAGAUUGAACAGAACUGUCCUGAGGAGGCCGUAGCACCGAGUCAGAUGUGGAAAGAGAAGAUAGUUAUACACAAAGAAGAGGCGCCGCCGGAAUCACCGACUACGCCACCUAGCGAAUCCCAGGACGACUGAAAACACAAGGAGUCCCGUUCGGAGGACUUAAAAACACCGAACGCCUUGCCAAGAGGUAAACUUGGUAGUUAUCCUUUUCCAUUCAAUAGUUUGCUUAGUUAAUCAGGUUCAUGCUAUCUUGAAAAGAAAAUAAAAAAAUAGUAAGCCCCAUGUGAGUAUGCUCAUGGCAUAAAAUCCAUAAGUACAUUCACUGUGGUGGCAUAAAAAUAAAAUAAAUAUGUUUUCAUCUUACAAUAAAAAUAUAAAAAAUAAGUGCAUGAUCCUGUUAAAUAAGUAAUAUUUAUUGUGGAGGCUCAACACGAUAAAGGCUAGAUAUUUAUGCUAACACUUAACCAGUUCCACAAAGCUUUGUUGUCUAUUUGAGCUCCACAGAAUUCAAUGAUCAAAGAAGACUAGCAGACGGAGGACAUUCUAAUCGCUGUCAGAAUGCUGCUGACUUUCAAAUACACCUCUGCCACCUGCUAGCUACAUCAGAAGAAAUUACGUCAAAAUCCAGCUUGGGGGAGAGCACCCCCAUUUAUCCAGCUAAGUGUUUCUAGUCGCAUUUAUACUUUACUUAAAUAAUAAGAGAUGCAUACUCAUGAAAACCCAAAUAAAGAUUUUGUGCUUUUAUAUAUAUAUAUAUCUUUGCUUAGUUUGCUAAAUAAAUAAAUAAAUAAAGUUUGCUAUCAACCCUCAUGAUAAACUCUCACAUGGAAAUAAUGAAUAGUUGCUCUGCCAUGACUAGUUCUUAAAAUUGAAAUCUCUCUCAAGUUUAGGCAUGACUGUUAUGAAUUAAAAUUUGCUCUAAACCUGAACUUGUGGGAAGAGUACUUGAUCUAAAGUCUAAGUUGUUAACGGAUAUGAUAUGGGAAGGUUGAGCUGCUGUUUUAUCUGUUCCUAGAGAUGCUAGAAUUCUGGAGAAUUUUAUCUUUGAAAAUCUUUAAAAUAUUACAUGAUGAGUUCCUGUAUGAUGAGAGUUUAAAUUCCUACCACAGCCAUAUAUACAUGCUUGCUAGACUUUGAGCCACACAUUUACUUUUUACUACUUAUGAGCAUUGAGUGUGGUCAAGCUGUGUUGACCCUUAGGAGCUUGUCAUGUGGUUAAGUCAAGAUUCACUUGCACGUUCACUCAUACAUGCUACUUCUACUCCGGAAGUACCAUCCACAUAUAUCCACUCAUUUCCAUCUCCAGAACCACCCAAAAACGUUCUACUCCUAAUCCGAAAAAGAAUGGCCAAAAAUAUUUUCCUAUCCCUAUUAUUCCCUGUGAAAUAAAUGCUCCAGUUAUUUUGGUUACUACCACUUGCUAUAUUAUUUCAAGGGAUGAGUGCUCUAGUAAAAAAAAAGAAGAAAAAAAAAGAGAAAAAAAAAUAAUAAUAAUAAUAAUAAUACGAGGAAAUAAAAAGGGGCAAGUGCCCGGAACCUCGAAGAAAAGAAAAAGUGAGACGAGAGGUAAAAAUGGACAAGUGUCCGACAGUAGAAUUAGGGGUACAAGAUACCCACCUGAGAGGAAAAAAAAAAGAAAAUAUAGAGCAUCUCAUUCUCCCCAAAAAGGUUCAAAGAGCAAGAAAGGUAUGUAUCCCCUCAAAAGAGCAAAAGUAGAAUUAGACUUUCACCAUCAUUAUCACCAUCAUCACCAUACACCAUUCAUUCGCCACACAUGCACAUCUUGAUUUGACUUAUUGACUUGUUUCUCUGGAUCCAUGGUUUGACUAUGCAAUAAAUGUCUUGUAAGUAUGUAUUAGCUGUCUCCCACCUAUGAGCUCAAGAUAUCAAAACCUUAUUAGAGUAGGGUGAGAGAGGAAGCAAUAUCACUAUGCCUCAUACCACAAAUACUACAUACUUUGAGAGAAGGCAUAUACCAUUACUGCCUUGGUAAGGAUCCAGAAAUACCACAAAAGAGAGAUUUGAGAGAGUCAUAUAAGGAAUCUCUGAGUUUUAUUUGAAAACCUGCAAAAACUCCAGAGCUAUAGCUGAUCAAGAACAAGAUACAUGGUGCUUGACUUGACCGUUCUAUCUUUUAACUGCUCAAGACACAAGUGACGGUUACAAGCCCCAUGGUGAAAGGUAAAAUGAGUAAGUUUUAAGUCUUAACAGUUUAUUCUAACUCAGAGAUGAGAUCUUGCUUGAAUGCGUGUGUACCUUUAAGAAAUGAAACCACUGCAGAAACUCUUGAGUUCAUCCUUGCUCAGGGACGAGCAAGAGGUAAGCUUGGGGGAGUUUGUUGACGGUCCUUAAGUAUCAAAUUUAAUUAUCAAAUAAACAAAGAAAAGGAUCCAAAUGAAAUCAACAUCUAGACUUAGGGUUUUAUCUGACAGAAUUCCACGAGUUUUGGUGUUUGUCUAUUUCUGCAGGGGGUUAUCAGGAAAUAAGGAAGAAAGGCCCACAUGUCAGGAUUACAUAGAGAUAUCAACGCACCGUGCAAUUUUGUACCAUCUAGAAGACUCCAGAAGCCACAGGAAGGAAGCGGAGGCCGAAAGGGGCCAGGCCCAGGGCGCCCGCCCUGAGGACCUGGGCGCCCGCCCACCUCUGGACUCCGUUCCGGACUCUCUUCGCACACGACGUUCCACCGACCUAUUGGAUCCAGAAUAACGUAGUACCACCUCGCUUACCGACCCAAAAACGCAUAGAAGGGGAGGACUAUAUAAGCAAGGCCUCCCUGGCCCCUGGAGAAGACAUGAAGAAGUUAUCAUAGAGAUUGAGGGGUGCCCUCGAAGGAAAACCUCUUCUCUAAAUAAUAUUUCUUUUUAGGCUUAGCAACCAAUGUAAGGUAGAAAUAGAUCUUCUAGUUUCUACUAGAUUGAGAGAGAUAGAGUGGAGGUGUGGAUCGGAGGAAGGCCGGCCUGUCGGUGUCUACUCCGAGUUGUACCUACGGGAUCAAGUCUCCUAACCCGAGGCUUGCUUCUAAGAUUCUUCAGUAAUUCGACUUCUAAUUACUAGUAAGUUCUUGUUUUAUUGUUCUUUGGUUUAUGAGUUUACUUUAAUCCUCUUCCGGUUGAGUAUUAGAGUAAUCACUUGUUAGCGUAAACGUGGUGUUUAGGCUAGGGUACUCAUAGAUAUUCCCUGACUAGCUGGACCGUGGUAGUAGUGAGGAACGUGACAAUUCCGAGCUACCUUUGUAGAUCACAUCUCGUUAGCAGGAAGGAUAGGGUUUAUAGG